CGGGCCUACGGGACGCAGCAGUCGGGAAUAUUGCGCAAUGGAGGAAACUCUGAUGCAGCGACGCCGCGUGAGGGAAGACGGUCUUCGGAUUGUAAACCUCUGUCUUUGGGGAAGAAAAUGACGGUACCCAAAGAGGAAGCUCCGGCUAACUACGUGCCAGCAGCCGCGGUAAUACGUAGGGAGCGAGCGUUGUCCGGCAUUACUGGGUGUCAAUGGAGCGUAGGCGGGCGAGAAAGUUGAAUGUUAAAUCUAUCGGCUUAACUGGUAGCUGCGUUCAAAACUUCUUGUCUUGAGUGAAGUAGAGG
rnacentral:rRNA from 1 species